rnacentral:rRNA from 1 species
CCACGGGGGGCUGCAGUGGGGAAUAUUGGACAAUGGGCGAAAGCCUGAUCCAGCCAUACCGCGUGUGUGAAGAAGGCCUUCGGGUUGUAAAGCACUUUCAGUGGGGAAGAAAGCCUUGGGGCUAAUACCCUCGAGGAAGGACAUCACCCACAGAAGAAGCACCGGCUAACUCCGUGCCAGCAGCCGCGGUAAUACGGAGGGUGCGAGCGUUAAUCGGAAUUACUGGGCGUAAAGCGCGCGUAGGCGGUCUGAUAAGCCGGUUGUGAAAGCCCCGGGCUCAACCUGGGAACGGCAUCCGGAACUGUCAGGCUAGAGUGCAGGAGAGGAAGGUAGAAUUCCCGGUGUAGCAGUGAAAUGCGUAGAGAUCGGGAGGAAUACCAGUGGCGAAGGCGGCCUUCUGGACUGACACUGACGCUGAGGUGCGAAAGCGUGGGUAGCAAACAGGAUUAGAUACCCGAGUAGUC